AUUGAACGCUGGCGGCAGGCUUAACACGUGCAAGUCGAGCGGGGUGAUGGUGCUUGCACUAUCACUUAGCGGCGGACGGGUGAGUAAUGCUUAGGAAUCUGCCUAUUAGUGGGGGACAACAUCUCGAAAGGGAUGCUAAUACCGCAUACGUCCUACGAGAGAAAGCAGGGGAUCACUUGUGACCUUGCGCUAAUAGAUGAGCCUAAGUCGGAUUAGCUAGUUGGUGGGGUAAAGGCCUACCAAGGCGACGAUCUGUAGCGGGUCUGAGAGGAUGAUCCGCCACACUGGGACUGAGACACGGCCCAGACUCCUACGGGAGGCAGCAGUGGGGAAUAUUGGACAAUGGGGGGAACCCUGAUCCAGCCAUGCCGCGUGUGUGAAGAAGGCCUUAUGGUUGUAAGGCACUUUAAGCGAGGAGGAGGCUCUUUUGGUUAAUACCCAAGAUGAGUGGACGUUACUCGCAGAAUAAGCACCGGCUAACUCUGUGCCAGCCGCCGCGGUAA
rnacentral:rRNA from 1 species